AGCAUCAUAGCAUAGUGGUUUGAAUGUUGGACUAGGACUCCAGGAGACCAGGGUUCAACUCCCUGCUCAGCCA
rnacentral:tRNA from 1 species